CUGUUAGCUCAGCUGGUAGAGCAACUGACUCUUAAUCAGUGGGUCAGGGGUUCGAUUCCCCUA
rnacentral:tRNA from 2 species